AGUUAGCUAACGAGUUCCAAAUAGGACGAAAUGCGCAUCCUGGAU
rnacentral:hammerhead_ribozyme from 1 species